rnacentral:rRNA from 1 species
UACGUAGGGUGCAAGCGUUAUCCGGAAUUAUUGGGCGUAAAGAGCUCGUAGGCGGUUUGUCGCGUCUGCUGUGAAAACUGGAGGCUCAACCUCCAGCCUGCAGUGGGUACGGGCAAACUAGAGUGCGGUAGGGGAGAUUGGAAUUCCUGGUGUAGCGGUGGAAUGCGCAGAUAUCAGGAGGAACACCGAUGGCGAAGGCAGAUCUCUGGGCCGAUACUGACGCUGAGGAGCGAAAGCGUGGGGAGCGAACAGG